rnacentral:rRNA from 1 species
UACGAAGGGGGGCUAGCGUUGCUCGGAAUCACUGGGCGUAAAAGCGCACGUAGGCGGACUCUUAAGUCGGUGGUGAAAUCCUGGAGCUCAACUCCAGAACUGCCUCCGAUACUGGGAGUCUUGAGUCCGGGAGAGGUGAGUGGAACUGCGAGUGUAGAGGUGAAAUUCGUAGAUAUUCGCAAGAACACCAGUGGCGAAGGCGGCUCACUGGCCCGGUACUGACGCUGAGGUGCGAAAGCGUGGGAGCAAACAGG